rnacentral:rRNA from 1 species
UGGGGAAUAUUGCACAAUGGGCGCAAGCCUGAUGCAGCAACGCCGCGUGAGGGAUGACGGCCUUCGGGUUGUAAACCUCUUUUAGUAGGGAAGAAGCGAAAAGUGACGGUACCUGCAGAAAAAAGCACCGGCUAACUACGUGCCAGCAGCCGCGGUAAUACGUAGGGUGCGAGCGUUGUCCGGAAUUAUUGGGCGUAAAGAGCUCGUAGGCGGUCUGUCGCGUCUGCUGUGAAAAACCCGAGGCUCAACCUCGGGCCUGCAGUGGGUACGGGCAGACUAGAGUGCGGUAGGGGAGAAUGGAAUUCCUGGUGUAGCGGUGGAAUGCGCAGAUAUCAGGAGGAACACCGAUGGCGAAGGCAGUUCUCUGGGCCGUAACUGACGCUGAGGAGCGAAAGCGUGGGGAGCGAACAGGAUUAGAUACCCUGGUAGUCCACGCCGUAAACGUUGGGCGCUAGAUGUGGGGACCAUUCCACGGUUUCCGUGUCGCAGCUAACGCAUUAAGCGCCCCGCCUGGGG